rnacentral:rRNA from 1 species
AUGGGAUGGAGGGAGUGUUGUACUACAUCAUUUUUCAAUUGUUGUUUAGCUUCUAAUAUUAAGUUGGUGCUUUUAGGUACAUAUAUCAUUGCCAAAGAUCCACACUUCGACCCUUUAUGCGUAUGGGGUAAUGAGAUAUUCAUGAACCAGCAUCAAGUGAGGAAACUGAUAAAGAGUGUUAUUAAAAUGGGCCAAAAGAUGUCAAUUGAACUAUUUGUUUACACUUUAUGCAAGACAGCAGUGAACUGCAGGAUGUGGAUCCUGAAUCAGUCUACUCAAGAUUACCUCUCAAACUACAUGAUUGGUGGCUGA